rnacentral:rRNA from 1 species
CCUACGGGAGGCAGCAGUAGGGAAUCUUCCACAAUGGGCGAAAGCCUGAUGGAGCAACGCCGCGUGGGUGAAGAAGGUCUUCGGAGCGUAAAACCCUGUUGGUAGAGAAGAAAGUGCGAGAGAGUAACUGGUCACGUGUCGACGGUAUCGAACCAGAAAGCCACGGCUAACUACGUGCCAGCAGCCGCGGUAAUACGUAGGUGGCAAGCGUGAUCCGGAUUUAUUGGGCGUAAAGGGAACGCAGGCGGUCUUUUAAGUCUGAGGUGAAAGCCUUCGGCUUACCCGGAGUAGGGCAUUGGAAACUGGGAGCCUUGAGUGCAGAAGAGGCGAGUGGAACUCCAUGUGUAGCGGU